GUCGAAAGUACGGUCAUGAAAAUUAAAGAAGUGCUAUUGGUAACCCUACGAAGACUUUUGCUUCUACACUCAGAUAAGACCAGGACGGCUGAAUUCUAUCGCGAAAGGAAAUGUGUGCGUACUUGAACCUGGACCACCAAUUAUACUUAAUAUCAGCAAGCAAAUUCGUUACUCCGAAAGCUGUCACGAAGACGGUUAACAUCAACGUGUCAAACGUCUGCCGUCCGGCAGAUCUAUACCCGAGGUCCACAACGUCGUGAGUCGUUGAGAGCAUUCAUAACAACUGACCAUCUAAAUUUCGCUCGCGACUUGAAUCACUUUGAACUGCGGGUAUUGAAGAUGUAUUCCUAGACGGGUCUGCCAUCGAAAAGAAUCGAUGAGAUGGUCAAGCUAAAGCACCUCAUCUUCAUCGGCAAAGUUGGAAACCAAUCUUGUAGAGGUGUGAGCUUUAAAGAGCUAUGUUAAGCAUGUAUUUUAACGUUGAAGAUUUCUCUGAACGGACUUUUUGUUGUGGAUUAACGAGCUUAAUCAUAAACCUCGGAACAUCGGUCUUGCCUUUUUGUAUCACAGGUGCGCAGUGAUGUUCACAUAUAAAUGACCGAAUCUCAUUGUAUCGCAAAAUUUUGCCCCUAUCAUGCCACACAUUACGUAAAAUCGUUUUUUGCCUCGACAGUUAUUUACAAAUGUUGUUGCCAAAUGAUAUCAAAUAUUCCCAUUGACGUGACAUUGUGCUUCAGGUUUCCUGAUACUUUAAUAAGGCCAUAGACUUAACAUAUCUAAGCUAUUUUAAUAGGGUGUGCUACGGUGGCGGCCCAAAAUGGGUCAGGAAGUUGGAAGUACAUAAGUACGUUAGGGUUCUGCGCAGUUCUUGCAGCGCUGAAGUCGCCUGUGACUUGCAUUCAUUAAGAAAGGAAUCAAAUUAUAGUGGGAGCGAACUUGAGAAUACGGUACGUU